rnacentral:rRNA from 1 species
CCCUUAGAUGUUCUGGGCUGCACUCGCGCUACACUGAUGCACUCAACGAGUUUACGACCUUGCCCGAUAGGGUUGGGUAAUCUUUUUAAAAUGCAUCGUGAUGGGGAUAGAUUAUUGCAAUUAUUAAUCUUCAACGAGGAAUUCCUAGUAAGCGCGAGUCAUCAGCUCGUGCUGAUUACGUCCCUGCCCUUUGUACACACCGCCCGUCGCUCCUACCGAUUGAGUGCUCAGGUGAAUAAUUCGGACUGCAGCAAUGUUUGGAUCCCGAACGUUGCAGCGGAAAGUUUAGUGAACCUUAUCACUUAGAGGAAGGAGAAGUCGUAACA